CCUCUCUCGGACUUAGCCACGCCCUUCAUUAGUUCCUGAGGGGAUUUUUCAGAACAGAGGUUAUGGCAGUUUCACUAUCCAAUUCCAUUUUUAGCAGGUGUGCUUCCUGACCAAAGAAGUCAGAUGAGUGCAUGAGCAGCCCCUUCAAGGACAAGGCUUGGAUUCCCAGGAGCAGACAAGGAACUCUCUGGGCAUACUCCAAGGAAUCUGGACCUCCUCUGUCACAGGACAUCCACUGUUUAAGCACCACACUACCUCAGGAAGUCCACUGUCUGUGUGUCAACUCCACUGUAACAGGACCACAAGUGUCUCAGCACUUCAACUAUCACAGCACUUCUACUGUUCAGGAGCUCAAGAGUCUCAGCAUCUCAAGUGUCACAGGACCUCCUUUGUCCAAGAACUGGACUGUCCAAGCAACACUACUAUUGCGGGACCUCCACUGUCACAGGACUUCCACUGUAGGAGCACUACAACUGUCUCAGGACACCCACUGUCCUAUAAGCUCCACUAUCUCAGGAAUUCCACUGUCGUAGCACCACCCGUAGCAACUAAAGUGUUUCAGGACAUCAACUGAAGCAAGAUCUGCCAUGAUUCUGCAACUUCACUGCCACAGGAUCUCUACAGUGACAGGAAUACCCCUGUAUCAUCAAUUCCAAUUUUGCAGGACCUCCACUGUAGCAGAACCUUCAAUUGUGCAGCAGCUCCCCUGUAGGGAGAUUGACCUCCAUGAUCUCAGUGCAUCGAUUUUCAAAGGACCUUCACUGUCACAGAACCGGCGCUAUUUCAGUGCCUCCACUGUCGCAGGACCUACCUAUUCACAGGAUCUGCACUGUUGCAACAACUGAAAUUUCAAUUUUUCAAAGUCAUUGCUGUUUAUAUUUGAGGCUGAAUGAAAUGUGAUGCUACUUUUGAAAGCAUAAAAAUUUGUUCUAUAGCUCUUGUGAUAAAUGCCGUGUGUGCUUGGACCAGUAAACUAUGGAAGACUUCAUGAGCUCAUACCACUCUCCACCUCACUUUGUGGAAGCUGGUGUUUUUAGAGUGUGAUAAACUUCAGGUGAAUGGAUGCAUUCAGCUGCACCACGCUCUAGAGUGGGCUACACAGCAGUCAUAUUGAGUCCUUGCUGGGAAGAGAAGAAAUCCAGAGGAGGGAGAAGGCUUGGGUUGGGGGAAGUAUCAUAAAAUACUUAGAAGAUAUAAGAAGGUAAGAAUUAUGGGGAACUGGAAAACAGAGCCAGAGGAAGAAUGAGCACAGAGCAAACUGGGAAGGACAAAGUACAAAGGCACUUGGGUUUUGCCAUCUGCGUGUUCUCUGGACAAUCUCCCUUGGCCUCAUUUCUGGGAGAAAACUCUUCCUCCACCCCCUUGUAAUGUUUCAUUCUUGAAGGAAAGCAGCAACACAACUUCAUCAGUGAAUUUCGCCAUUGGAAUUGGUUCAUCCUUUAAUGCCUCUGGGAAAUCCCCAGCUGGGGAAUGUCCUGCUCUCUGCUGAGAGACAGCAGGAAAGUAGGUUGUCCUCUGUUUUCUCGUUGCUACAGCUCUUCUAAGUGUGGCUGAUUGUUGAGUGAAGACACAGGACACUUCUGGUGUGUAUGUAUGCUUUGUUCGCUGUGGGUGUUGUCGGUAGUGUCCUGAAAAGAAGAAGGGCAUGCCCAAUGGCUCUUUGCUUCCUCUUUGACUAGCCUUAUGAUCAUAGGGAGACACUAGGCCAUUGGAAGAUGAGGAGAACAAUGUGUCUAUGUUGUGUUCACUUCUAUUCCUAUUUAGUCCUAGAGGGAAAUCAGCAAGGGUAGAGAAGGGGACCAUAACUGGACAAAGCUGCUGAGCCUGUGUUGUGCAGCAAUUCCUGUGUAUAACUUGAUGUUACAUUAAGCAAUAGGAUGCCAUGUUCUGUUUAUACCUUUUUGAUGCAAUGAAUCUAUAAUAUUUUACCUCAAACCUCAAUAUAUUACGUUUCUUCCUCUUUUGGAGAAUCUGGCAUGAGAGG
ensembl:lncRNA